UACAGAGGUCUCAAGCGUUGUUCGGAUUCAUUGGGCGUAAAGGGUGCGUAGGCGGCGCGGUAAGUCGGGUGUGAAAUCUCGGAGCUUAACUCCGAAACUGCAUUCGAUACUGCCGUGCUUGAGGACUGGAGAGGAGACUGGAAUUUACGGUGUAGCGGUGAAAUGCGUAGAUAUCGUAAGGAAGACCAGUGGCGAAGGCGGGUCUCUGGACUGGUACUGACGCUGAUGCGCGAAAGCGUGGGGAGCAAACAGG
rnacentral:rRNA from 1 species